GUUGGUGCAAAAGUAACUGCGGUUUUUGCCACUGCUUUUAGUGGCAAAAACCGCAAUAACUUUUGCAACAA
ensembl:miRNA